rnacentral:lncRNA from 1 species
AAAUAAAUUAUUUUUUAUUUGGAAUAUAAAUGCCUAUUACUUUGUUUUGAUAUUACAGGUUUUGUGCAAAUAUCUGCUGAGUGAACUACUUAUUUGAAAAGACAUCAUUGGUUAAUAUUCCCUUUUGCUCAUUGAAAUCUCAAAGACUACAGUUUCCAGAAGCAGAGAGAGAUAAGACCCAUGAUAAUCAAGCCAUAAACAGAUGCAUUUACUAGCUGAAUGCCCAACAAUGGAAUUCAACAAACCCAUCUUGAGCACGGCAGCCAGGAGUGUGGUGCAAUUCCAUUAGAUGAAAGAGAUCUACACAUUCAGAAGCACAUGAUUCUUCCCCCUUCCAUGAUUCCAGUGGCCAAUAGAGGUAUAAGGAAGAACCAAGAAACAGUAUUUACUGCAUCCUUUGGCAUUGAUGUUACAGUAUUUCACGAAAGGCCCGAGACAAACUACAAUAAAGCCAUGCCCCGACUGGAUGUGCCUAACAUUUGUCUGGUGCUUAAAGGAGUUGGCUGCAUGCAUGGAAAUGUUGGAAAGUCACCAAAAAUACUUCUCCAAGUCAGAAGCGGUGCAAAAGCUGCCUCAGCUCUUGGUGGAUUUUCAAUUUCUCCCAGCCAUCUCUGUUUCUCUCAGGGUUUCUGAAGACAGUGGAACUGUGCUCCAUAUAUCUGGAAAGCAAGAAUGAAAUAAUUUAAAGAUAUACU